AGCUUUCAGAAUCCGUACUGAGAUUUCGUCAGACACCAACCCACUAAGGCUGAUCAGACUUCCAAGACAAAUGAAGUU
rnacentral:pre_miRNA from 1 species